AGAGUUUGAUCCUGGCUCAGAUUGAACGCUGGCGGCAGGCCUAACACAUGCAAGUCGAGCGGUAGCACAGAGAGCUUGCUCUCGGGUGACGAGCGGCGGACGGGUGAGUAAUGUCUGGGAAACUGCCUGAUGGAGGGGGAUAACUACUGGAAACGGUAGCUAAUACCGCAUAAUGUCGCAAGACCAAAGUGGGGGACCUUCGGGCCUCAUGCCAUCAGAUGUGCCCAGAUGGGAUUAGCUAGUAGGUGGGGUAACGGCUCACCUAGGCGACGAUCCCUAGCUGGUCUGAGAGGAUGACCAGCCACACUGGAACUGAGACACGGUCCAGACUCCUACGGGAGGCAGCAGUGGGGAAUAUUGCACAAUGGGCGCAAGCCUGAUGCAGCCAUGCCGCGUGUGUGAAGAAGGCCUUCGGGUUGUAAAGCACUUUCAGCGGGGAGGAAGGCGGUGAGGUUAAUAACCUCAUCGAUUGACGUUACCCGCAGAAGAAGCACCGGCUAACUCCGUGCCAGCAGCCGCGGUAAUACGGAGGGUGCAAGCGUUAAUCGGAAUUACUGGGCGUAAAGCGCACGCAGGCGGUCUGUCAAGUCGGAUGUGAAAUCCCCGGGCUCAACCUGGGAACUGCAUUCGAAACUGGCAGGCUAGAGUCUUGUAGAGGGGGGUAGAAUUCCAGGUGUAGCGGUGAAAUGCGUAGAGAUCUGGAGGAAUACCGGUGGCGAAGGCGGCCCCCUGGACAAAGACUGACGCUCAGGUGCGAAAGCGUGGGGAGCAAACAAGAUUAGAUACCCUGGUAGUCCACGCCGUAAACGA
rnacentral:rRNA from 1 species